rnacentral:piRNA from 1 species
UAGAAUGUUUGGUAGAUGAUGUCAAGGC